UUUACCUACACCAGGCAAGGAGCCGGCAUCAGGCACAGAUUCUAGCCCACAACGCCUAGUCUCACCACACCCCCAAGGGUAAUCAGCAGUGAUAAAUUUUGCGUAUGAGCGUCAGCUCGACUCAGUUAGGGAAAAGAGGGCCGGCUAACCCGGUGCCAGCCGCCGCGGCUACCCCGUAGGGCUCAAGUUGAUAGUCGUCGGCGUUAAGCGUGAUUAAAGUUCCUAUAAAUUAGGGUUAAAUUAAUACUCAGUAGUUUUAAGCUUGUUAUUAAGAAAAACACACACGAAAGUUACCCUAAUUACACUUGAAUCCACGACAGCUGGGGCGCAAACUGGGAUUAGAUACCCCACUAUGCCCAGCCGUAAACAAUUAACUCACACCAACCAGCGCCAGGGAAUUACGAGCUAUGCUUAAAACCCAAAGGACUUGACGGUUUCCCACCCCCCUAGAGGAGCCUGUUCUUUAAUCGAUGACCCCCGCUAUACCUAACCACCCCUCGCUACCAGUCUGUAUACCUCCGUCGAAAGCUUACCAUAUGAACGUUUUCAGUAAGCCCAAUGACCCCCGUCAAUACGUCAGGUCAAGGUGCAGCUUAAGGGAUGGAAAACAAUGGGCUACAAUUUCUAACCUAGAACAAACGAAAGACUAUGUGAAAUCACAGUCAUGAAGGCGGAUUUAGUAGUAAAAAGAAAAUAGAGUGUUCUUUUUAACAUGGCUCUGGGACGCGUACACACCGCCCGUCACC
rnacentral:rRNA from 1 species